GUCGAGCGGUAACACAGAGGAGCUUGCUCCUUGGGUGACGAGCGGCGGACGGGUGAGUAAAGUCUGGGGAUCUGCCUGAUGGAGGGGGAUAACUACUGGAAACGGUAGCUAAUACCGCAUGACGUCUUCGGACCAAAGUGGGGGACCUUCGGGCCUCACGCCAUGAGAUGAACCCAGAUGGGAUUAGCUGGUAGGUGAGGUAACGGCUCACCUAGGCGACGAUCCCUAGCUGGUCUGAGAGGAUGACCAGCCACACUGGAACUGAGACACGGUCCAGACUCCUACGGGAGGCAGCAGUGGGGAAUAUUGCACAAUGGGGGAAACCCUGAUGCAGCCAUGCCGCGUGUGUGAAGAAGGCCUUCGGGUUGUAAAGCACUUUCAGCGGGGAGGAAGGCAAUAAACUUAAUAAGUUUGUUGAUUGACGUUACCCGCAGAAGAAGCACCGGCUAACUCCGUGCCAGCAGCCGCGGUAAUACGGAGGGUGCAAGCGUUAAUCGGAAUGACUGGGCGUAAAGCGCACGCAGGCGGUCUGUUAAGUUGGAUGUGAAAUCCCCGGGCUCAACCCGGGAACAGCAUUCAAAACUGACAGGCUAGAGUCUCGUAGAGGGGGGUAGAAUUCCAGGUGUAGCGGUGAAAUGCGUAGAGAUCUGGAGGAAUACCGGUGGCGAAGGCGGCCCCCUGGACGAAGACUGACGCUCAGGUGCGAAAGCGUGGGGAGCAAACAGGAUUAGAUACCCUGGUAGUCCACGCCGUAAACGAUGUCGACUUGGAGGCUGUGGUCUUGAACCGUGGCUUCCGGAGCUAACGCGUUAAGUCGACCGCCUGGGGAGUACGGCCGCAAGGUUAAAACUCAAAUGAAUUGACGGGGGCCCGCACAAGCGGUGGAGCAUGUGGUUUAAUUCGAUGCAACGCGAAGAACCUUACCUACUCUUGACAUCCAGAGAAGACUGUAGAGAUACGGUUGUGCCUUCGGGAGCUCUGAGACAGGUGCUGCAUGGCUGUCGUCAGCUCGUGUUGUGAAAUGUUGGGUUAAGUCCCGCAACGAGCGCAACCCUUAUCCUUUGUUGCCAGCGAUACGGUCGGGAACUCAAAGGAGACUGCCGGUGAUAAACCGGAGGAAGGUGGGGAUGACGUCAAGUCAUCAUGGCCCUUACGAGUAGGGCUACACACGUGCUACAAUGGCGCAUACAAAGAGAAGCGAGCCUGCGAGGGUGAGCGGACCUCAUAAAGUGCGUCGUAGUCCGGAUUGGAGUCUGCAACUCGACUCCAUGAAGUCGGAAUCGCUAGUAAUCGUAGAUCAGAAUGCUACGGUGAAUACGUUCCCGGGCCUUGUACACACCGCCCGUCACACCAUGGGAGUGGGUUGCAAAAGAAGUAGGUAG
rnacentral:rRNA from 1 species